AGUCGAGCGAAUGGAUUAAGAGCUUGCUCUUAUGAAGUUAGCGGCGGACGGGUGAGUAACACGUGGGUAACCUGCCCAUAAGACUGGGAUAACUCCGGGAAACCGGGGCUAAUACCGGAUAACAUUUUGAACUGCAUGGUUCGAAAUUGAAAGGCGGCUUCGGCUGUCACUUAUGGAUGGACCCGCGUCGCAUUAGCUAGUUGGUGAGGUAACGGCUCACCAAGGCAACGAUGCGUAGCCGACCUGAGAGGGUGAUCGGCCACACUGGGACUGAGACACGGCCCAGACUCCUACGGGAGGCAGCAGUAGGGAAUCUUCCGCAAUGGACGAAAGUCUGACGGAGCAACGCCGCGUGAGUGAUGAAGGCUUUCGGGUCGUAAAACUCUGUUGUUAGGGAAGAACAAGUGCUAGUUGAAUAAGCUGGCACCUUGACGGUACCUAACCAGAAAGCCACGGCUAACUACGUGCCAGCAGCCGCGGUAAUACGUAGGUGGCAAGCGUUAUCCGGAAUU
rnacentral:rRNA from 1 species